rnacentral:pre_miRNA from 1 species
UAAAUACUCCCUCCGUCCAACAAAAGAUGUCUCAACUUUGACUAAAUUUGAAUGCAUCUAUACACUAACUCAUGUCUAGAUACAUUCAAAUUUUGACAAAUUUGAGACAUCUUUUGUUGGACGGAGGGAGUAUUUA